CCUACGGGUGGCAGCAGUGAGGAAUAUUGGUCAAUGGACGAGAGUCUGAACCAGCCAAGUAGCGUGAAGGAUGACUGCCCUAUGGGUGGUAAACUUCUUUUAUAAAGGAAUAAAACGAGGCACGUGUGCCUUUUUGCAUGUACUUUAUGAAUAAGGAUCGGCUAACUCCGUGCCAGCAGCCGCGGUAAUACGGAGGAUCCGAGCGUUCUCCGGAUGUAUUGGGUUUAAAGGGAGCGUAGAUGGGUUGUUAAGUCAGUUGUGAAAGUUUGCGGCUCAACCGUAAAAUUGCAAUUGAUACUGGCAGUCUUGAGUACAGUUGAGGUAGGCGGAAUUCGUGGUGUAGCGGUGAAAUGCUUAGAUAUCACGAAGAACCCCGAUUGCGAAGGCAGCUUACUAGACUGUGACUGACAUUGAUGCUCGAAAGUGUGGGUAUCAAACAGGAUUAGAUACCCUGGUAGUC
rnacentral:rRNA from 1 species